rnacentral:rRNA from 1 species
GAUGAACGCUGGCGGCGUGCCUAAUACAUGCCAGUCGAGCGAACAGAUAAGGAGCUUGCUCCUUUGACGUUAGCGGCGGACGGGUGAGUAACACGUGGGUAACCUACCUAUAAGACUGGGAUAACUUCGGGAAACCGGAGCUAAUACCGGAUAACAUUUGGAACCGCAUGGUUCUAAAGUGAAAGCUGGUUUUGCUAUCACUUAUAGAUGGACCCGCGCCGUAUUAGCUAGUUGGUAAGGUAACGGCUUACCAAGGCGACGAUACGUAGCCGACCUGAGAGGAUGAUCGGCCACACUGGAACUGAGACACGGUCCAGACUCCUACGGGAGGCAGCAGUAGGGAAUCUUCCGCAAUGGGCGAAAGCCUGACGGAGCAACGCCGCGUGAGUGAUGAAGGGUUUCGGCUCGUAAAACUCUGUUAUUAGGGAAGAACAAAUGUGUAAGUAACUGUGCACGUCUUGACGGUACCUAAUCAGAAAGCCACGGCUAACUACGUG